rnacentral:lncRNA from 1 species
GUAUGAGCAGCCAGGAUAUUGAUAGGGGCAGUCAAGAAAAGAAUUCUACUGAAAUAAGGUAAGGAAGCCAAUCUACUCUACUGAAGCAGCAGAAGACAGGGAGACCUGAUGUGACCCAGCUGACAGCCAACACCAACAUGAUAAUGAGGCCACCUUGGACAGUCCAGCUGACUAGCUAGUAGAAUGCAGCUGCCUGAAUGAGCCAAGAAGGCAAAUCAGCAGACAAACCACCCUGCCAACCCAUGGAACCAUGAUAAAUAAUAAAUUUGUUUGUUUUCACAAAGGAAGUGUGGGGAUGAUUUGUUACACAGCUGUAGAUAACUGGUGUAUCUUACAUGAAAGUCCCAUUUCCUCCAGGUGGUUCUGGUUUUCUGCUAUAUCUGGAAUAGUAGCUU